UGUGUUUAGCUCUUGAAAGGUCUUCUGGUUUCCUGAGUGUGAACAUUUCCAGAGUUGACCCUGCUUACCCAUAGAGCAGAGAUGGGAAGAAGUGGGAGGAAGCUUCCCUUUUGCAAGUCCCUGUGUUUUGACCACAGUGAUGGAGCCUGAGGCCGUGGAAAUCCUUUAAGGAGUGUGUGUUUGCAGGUGUUGUUUACAGUAGUAAAAGCUGCACACCCAGCCCAACUAUGCACUGAUCGAGCAUGGGAGAUGGUGUCCUCAAACCCCUGUGAGCAAGCCACUUCACCAGGCUGGUAAUAGUACAUGUACACGUGCAUGGGGUGGUGAGGGGACAGAGCAGUCUGAACAAACAGGGCCCAGACCAGGCUGUGAGCAGACAGGAGGUCCCCAAGGCACCAGCUGCUACUGGAGAAGACAGGGCUGGAGAUGCUGCUGAAAAAGCCAUGAUGCAAACAUCAUCCUCUUAUUGGGCUUUGGGAACUGCUCGUGUUUCCACUGGAUUUGUGCCAUUCAAGCAGUUUCUGCUUAAGAGGAAACUUAAGUACUAUAUUGUCCAUGGUCUGACCUCGUGGGAGCCACCGAGGUGUUAGCUGGUUCCCCUUGUUGCUGCACAGUUGCCUGUGUUUCCAUGCAAGCUUCAUGGGUGCAUCAGCAUGAGUUUAUACGCCAGAGACGUAUCAGUAUAAUACAUGAAAUGGUUUCUUUUUCCCACCCCCACCUUUGCAGUCUCCAGGAGGCUGCCAGAGCUUCCAUUUACACUCCAGAGUCCCAUUGAGAUCAUGACAGCAAUGUUUAUGUGCUAUUCUAAUGCUGUUUUU
rnacentral:lncRNA from 1 species